CGGCACACACGUUGCGCACUGCAACACCAGCCAUAGGCUAAUCUACUACAAACUACAAUUGUAAAAUGUCAAAAGUCUAAAAUGUCAAAUGAGGGGAAUGAAAUUAAAAUAAAAUAAAAUGUCGGUCUUUCUUUUCUGGUUGGACCGCCAAGCGAGUUACACGGAUAAAUUUUAAUAAAACUCGGAUUCGAAGUGUUUUACAAAUGUGGUGAAAGCCACACCGCUCCCAAGGUGACUGCAGCCAAUAUUGGUAAGCUACAACAGCCAAUUAUUUGUACGGACAAACAAUUAUAGCAGCGCAGGUGUAUCCCGGCGAUUUCGCCAAGUAUGUCUAUACGUUCCGCCUGAAUUACAAGGGCUAGACGGUCCACAUAAAUUACAUGGCGACCGUGGCGCGUCAUCUGCAAUAAGAGCGUCAAUGUCUUCAGUUUUUGCAUUGGGUAUCGUGAGCCCUACUAGUCAUCUAAAAGUUUUUGCCAUUUUCUCACCAUGGGAAAAUAAAGAUGUCUGUACGUUUGAGCAUGGCCAUAGUGUGCAUAAAGAAGGUUUUAAAGCUAUAGCAGCGCAGACAAUUUUCAUUGAAGUAUCGGCUGGGAAUCAGUAUAUUAGUAACUCACUGGCCAGGGCAAGAAUCUCUGCGGGCAUUAAGAACGGGAAACCGCAACUAGAUAAACGAAGCCGUGUACUAAACCAGCGAAACAAUUAUGCAAACCUUUCGAGAGCAGGAUUAGCCAUGAUAAAAAGAUCUAUCAUACAGUACCCAAAUCAUCAGUCACAGCAGUCGAAAAA